UAUAUUUCAGGCCUGGAAUGCAACUUAUGAGCCCCGGGAUCAUGAUGGGCGUUUGAAAUGGAAAUAUCCUGGAACAAAUACUGUUGAUUUUCUAUUUGAGGUGGGAGUUGAUGGUAGUAGUUUGCUUUAUCUGCAAGAACACGGAAACAAGAAACUAAUUGAGGGUUGCAGAGUGAUGUUUAAAGAUGCAACUGAUUUAUUGUUGUACUCGGGUAGAAUAAUUGAGUGUUCCUG
rnacentral:misc_RNA from 1 species